rnacentral:rRNA from 1 species
UACGUAGGGUGCAAGCGUUGUCCGGAAUUAUUGGGCGUAAAGAGCUCGUAGGCGGCUUGUCGCGUCGGCUGUGAAAACCUGGGGCUCAACUCCGGGCUUGCAGCCGAUACGGGCAAGCUAGAGUUCGGUAGGGGAGACUGGAAUUCCUGGUGUAGCGGUGAAAUGCGCAGAUAUCAGGAGGAACACCCGUGGCGAAGGCGGCUCUCUGGGACGGUACUGACGCUGAGACGCGAAAGCGUGGGGAGCGAACAGG